UUGGCUUGACCCGAAGCCGGUGCGCUAACCUUCGGGAGGCAGCCGACCACGGUCAGGUCAGCGACUGGGGUGAAGUCGUAACAAGGUAGCCGUAGGUGAACCUGCAGAAGGAUCA
rnacentral:rRNA from 1 species